GACCGAGAGCUCGGUGCUCUCAGAACCGAAGCACGACCCAACCGGCGCCACUCCUCCCGGCCACGGCACAGCGGCGGACCACCGGUAUCUUCUGCGUCUCGCUGUUGCCUACCUCCCAGUAGCCUCUGAUCGUCCAUGCACUGAACGGAGAAGGAGACUCGACGACUGGAAGCUCAGAGACUUCUCCGGCGAGCUCUACAAUUUCCGGCGAUUCCGGCCAUCGUUUGGGCCGUCUGUGGUGAGGGUUGACCUUGGUUUGGGAGUAAAAUCUGGAAAUUUUUGGUUGGUGACCGAACUGAGAAGUUUGGGUUUGCUGUGUUCUUCGUCGGGUGCAAACUUGCAAAUUUGGAGUUCUGAUCUUGAUCAAGUUUGAUCACAUGGUGAGUUGAAAUCUAUUUGAAAAUUUUGGGAUUUGCCUUGUAUAGUUAACUUCUGGAAUGGGUUGCCAUGCUUGUAUACGUACUGUGAAUUCAAGUUGAUGCUUAAUGUAAAUUGUGUUAUGAGAAUGAGAAAUUGGACUUGGUUUCAUUCUUGAAUGAUAGUUAUAAAAUGCAGAAUUGAGAAACUGAUUUGUUGUUA